GCGUGAGUGAUGACGGCCUUCGGGUUGUAAAGCUCUUUUGUCCGGGAAGAUAAUGACUGUACCGGAAGAAUAAGCCCCGGCAAACUUCGUGCCAGCAGCCGCGGUAAUACGAAGGGGGCUAGCGUUGUUCGGAUUUACUGGGCGUAAAGCGCACGUAGGCGGCUUGUUAAGUCAGAGGUGAAAGCCUGGAGCUCAACUCCAGAACUGCCUUUGAUACUGGCAAGCUCGAGUAUGGUAGAGGUUGGUGGAACUCCGAGUGUAGAGGUGAAAUUCGU
rnacentral:rRNA from 1 species